rnacentral:pre_miRNA from 13 species
CUGGCUCUAGCCCAGGGGCGUUAAUAUCUUGCUGGGGCCUCCAUUAUGUUGUAUCCAGGCAAGUCAGAGAAAACGCCACACUUUGGGAUGAAUUAAGAGUCCUUUAUUAG